rnacentral:rRNA from 1 species
UACGGAGGGUGCAAGCGUUAUCCGGAUUCACUGGGUUUAAAGGGUGCGUAGGUGGGCCUGUAAGUCAGUGGUGAAAUCUCCGGGCUUAACCCGGAAACUGCCAUUGAUACUAUAGGUCUUGAAUUUUCUGGAGGUCAGCGGAAUAUGUCAUGUAGCGGUGAAAUGCUUAGAUAUGACAUAGAACACCGAUUGCGAAGGCAGCUGACUACAGGAACAUUGACACUGAGGCACGAAAGCGUGGGGAUCAAACAGG